CCUACGGGGUGCAGCAGUGGGGGAUAUUGCACAAUGGGGGAAACCCUGAUGCAGCGACGCCGCGUGGGUGAAGAAGCGCCUCGGCGUGUAAAGCCCUGUCAGCAGGGAAGAAAAUGACGGUACCUGAAGAAGAAGCCCCGGCUAACUACGUGCCAGCAGCCGCGGUAAUACGUAGGGGGCAAGCGUUAUUCGGAUUUACUGGGUGUAAAGGGGGCGCAGACGGCGAUGCAAGCCAGGAGUGAAAGCCCGGGGCCCAACCCCGGGACUGCUCUUGGAACUGCGUGGCUAGAGUGCAGGAGGGGCAG
rnacentral:rRNA from 1 species